rnacentral:rRNA from 1 species
ACAGCAGUCGCCGCGGUAAUACGGAGGGUGCAAGCGUUAAUCGGAAUUACUGGGCGUAAAGCGCACGCAGGCGGUCUGUUAAGUCAGAUGUGAAAUCCCCGGGCUCAACCCGGGAACUGCAUUUGAAACUGGCAGGCUUGAGUCUUGUAGAGGGGGGUAGAAUUCCAGGUGUAGCGGUGAAAUGCGUAGAGAUCUGGAGGAAUACCGGUGGCGAAGGCGGCCCCCUGGACAAAGACUGACGCUCAGGUGCGAAAGCGUGGGGAGCAAACAGGAUUAGAUACCCGAGUAGUCCCUGUCUCUUAUAC